rnacentral:rRNA from 1 species
GACGAACGCUGGCGGCGUGCUUAACACAUGCAAGUCGAACGGAAAGGCCCUGCUUUUGUGGGGUGCUCGAGUGGCGAACGGGUGAGUAACACGUGAGUAACCUGCCCCUGACUUUGGGAUAACUUCAGGAAACUGGGGCUAAUACCGGAUAGGAGCUCCUGCUGCAUGGUGGGGGUUGGAAAGUUUCGGCGGUUGGGGAUGGACUCGCGGCUUAUCAGCUUGUUGGUGGGGUAGUGGCUUACCAAGGCUUUGACGGGUAGCCGGCCUGAGAGGGUGACCGGCCACAUUGGGACUGAGAUACGGCCCAGACUCCUACGGGAGGCAGCAGUGGGGAAUAUUGCACAAUGGGCGGAAGCCUGAUGCAGCAACGCCGCGUGCGGGAUGACGGCCUUCGGGUUGUAAACCGCUUUCGCCUGUGACGAAGCGUGAGUGACGGUAAUGGGUAAAGAGGCACCGGCUAACUACGUG